rnacentral:misc_RNA from 1 species
CAGCAACGUCCACCCGUUCAUACCUCUUCAUUUGUGCGGCAAGGUUGGUUUUGCCUUGAGCAUUCUUUGGGUUUCCUGUGUUGCAUACCUACUCAAUGGUAUUGUUUAGUUCUACCGAAGUCCCUUUUCAUCAUGCGUCCCUCACGUGGCGUGAGGUGAACCUCGAAGCGAUCUCUGUGUUCCAUCUCGUUGAUGCAUAUGCAUCGGUGAAAUGGCCCAUUGAGCAUUGCUUGGUUUCUUGGAUACAGAACCUUAUGUGGGUAUGGGGUUUUAUACGACCCUGUGUUUGCCCUUAUAAGCGUUCUCGCUUCUCUAAAACGACUGUCGGUCUCGUGUUGGCCGUUCGUACGCCGACGACGUCGAAG